rnacentral:tRNA from 1 species
CGGGGUGUAGCGCAGCGGCAGCGCGCUUGGUUUGGGACCAAGAGGUCGCCAGUUCAAUCCUGGCCACCCCGACCA